UUAACUCUUUAUUGGUCACAUUAUAAUUGUAUUGAGUCAAAAUCUAUUUUAUUUUUUUCACAUACCUGCGGAGUCACAUAGGUUAGGGUAGGUUAGGCUCCCAAAAGUCAUAUUUACCCAACUUACAUAUUACCCCUGGGUCGCUUGCCAGGGUAAAGCCCCUUCAUCAUUGAAAUAAGCCAUGAAAGUAUCCCUUACUUGCUUAGCAGCCAUAAUGGAAUUUCUUGUUGGGCCUUGUUGCAGAGGACAAAAUGAAUUACGUUGUCCCACAGCAUUAUCUUCUUCACUGUCAAGUGGACAAUAGCUUGCACCAAUUUUCUUCCUUAAGUAGUUAUGUAAAACACAGCAGCCUAAAACAACCUUAUCUAUAUUACUCACUUUCAGAUUUAUCGGGGCAGAAAAAACGCGAAAGCGUGAUGACAUAAUGCCAAACACGUUUUCAAUCACCCUUCGAGCCCUCGAAAGCCUGUAAUUAAAUACGCAUCGUUCUUCUGUCAACUCCCUUGAACUAAAAGGCUUCAAAAAAUCCUUCCUCAAGAGUGAGCACUCGAGUUGGGCAUGGACCACUCUCCAGACUGCACCACCAACACCUACCCAGUCUUCAGUGCCAACUCCCAGCCCGUUUCCAGUGCUGACUCCUAGCCCGUCUCCAGUGCCAACUCCUAGCCCGUCUCCAGUGCCAACUCCCGGCCUGUCUUCAGGCCCAACUCCCACCCGAUCUUCAGGCCCAACUCCCGGCCCGUCCUCAGGCCCAACUCCCACCCCAUCUUCAGGGCCAACUCCCGGCCCGUCUUCAAGCCCAACUGAACGUGAGUUUCAGGAAACUCAGCCUCAAAAGCAACGGAAGAAAGCAGACCAAAAAGAUGUACUAGAUCUGCUUCUUAAGCAAAUUGCCUCAAAAGAGGAAGCUAGUAGAGAGUUCACUCAUGCAAAAGCAUGGGCGCAAGAGUUAGCAAAAAUGGACCCAACACAAGCCGAUAAAUGUUGUUGCAUAAUUAGCGAUGCCAUUUACAAGGGCAAGCAAGGGCUCCUUGGGCCAAAUACAAUAAUUUCGCAACGAGUAACCGACGUUCAGCAAAUUGUAGAGUGCUCUGCAGGCAACCAACAAGAGGACCUAGCAAUUUAUUUUUCUAACUUUCAAGGUUCACAAUUUCAUAAUUAAUGCAUUAAUUGUAAACACAUAAACAUAUUGAUUAAAUUUCAAGUAACUGAAGCAGUAUUUUACUUACCUUCAUAUAAUCCUUAGCAAGCAUUCUAUAGAUAGCGACACAGGUCUCAGGUAUGAUGACUCCUAAAGCUUGGGGAGAGAUCGAAGUGGAAAACUUUAGGUCUUCAUAUGAUCUCCCAGUUGCUAAAAAACGAAGGGUCGCUGUAAGCCUCUCAUGGGGUGAAAUUGCUUUUCGCAUGACGGUAUCUUGUCUUUUAAUUAAUGGAGUCAAUAGUGAUAACAAUUCUGAGUAGGUUUGCUCAUACAUUCGCAAGUAAUUGAAAUAAUCGACAGGUUCCAAAUGAAAUUCAUUUAACAAUCCUUCAUGCGAUAAGCUAUCCCUCUUCAAAAGCCAUGGCUUGCACCAUCUUGAUUUUUUUUUCCUUUUUCUUUGUAAUGUAGGUGCUAGUGCUACAUUUACUAAAUCGUCAGAUGAAAAACAAUCAGAGAGAGACAUCUUUCCAAUUCAAAAUGAUGAGAAAAACUGAGCCAAAGAAUGUAAUGUGAGUGGCCUACCCACUUGGGUAUAGGUUUGCACAGUUGACCAUACCAUAACCCUACCAUUGCUAAAG